rnacentral:lncRNA from 1 species
CGAUUCGAAAAAAAAAUUCUUCUUCUAAUUUUCUAAUAUUUCUGGACUUCCACGGAUAAAUGACAGGUUAUACUAGUGUUCAACUUAUUGACUUAUUGUAUUGCAUUUUACUAGACAUAAGGUGUCUAAUAAAUUGAUAAAAUUGUGUUCUCAUUGACAGUCAUACCACAUCUCCCCAUUUAACUUUACAGAAUUACUUCAUAUUCAAAUUGGUCAGCAGCAACAAAAAAAAUUACAGAUUUGUGACGUCAGACACCGACUUUCAGUUUUUUUCCAGCAUAAUGAAUGAUCUCUACACGUCACACAUUUCGCCAGUACUACUGGUCAGAAUGACGUUUUAUCUGGUCAUCCGCUUUGUAGUGAUGAUAUAUAUAAUAUGUUCUGUUCGCUUUUCGGAUCAGUUAGACACCAUCUUUGGGUUAACUUAAUUACUUUAAAUAACAAGUUGAUGCAUGAUUAAAUCAAUGACGAAUGUUUUUUUUUUCAUUGUUGUAAUUAUUUAUUGAUUGUAAGAUAGAUUGAUAUAUUGGUGUUUAACGCUAUUUUCAGCACUAUUGUGCCAUUUUGUAGAGGUCAGCUUUGAAGAAAUAUCGAGAGGAAGUCAGAGUAUCUGGAGAGGAUCACCAACCUUCGGCAGAUUAAAUAAACAGUCCUUGUCAAAUGAGUCGUGCGCAACUACCACGUGCGGGAAUCGAACUGGUACCUUCAGUGUUGACAGGCUAGUGAUCCAGUAGUUUGACUGCUUAGACCUCUCGCCACCGAGUUUCCUUUUUAGUAAUAAAAGGGAGAAGGCCAAGUUCGUUUUAUUAACAUUAUUAAGUCAAGAUUUAAAGUUGAAUUGCCAAAUAACAGUCACUUUCAAUGCAUUGAUUUUAUCGCAUGUAAAGGAAUACUAGUAAUCUUAAAAUUUUCUGCAGUACCA